UGGGGAAUAUUGCACAAUGGGCGCAAGCCUGACGCAGCGACGCCGCGUGAGGGAAGAAGGCCUUCGGGUUGUAAACCUCUUUCAGUAGGGACGAAGCUACUCGGGUGAAUAGCCCAGAGGGUGACGGUACCUACAGAAGAAGCCCCGGCUAACUACGUGCCAGCAGCCGCGGUAAUACGUAGGGGGCAAGCGUUGUCCGGAUUUAUUGGGCGUAAAGAGCUCGUAGGUGGUUCGGUAAGUCGGAUGUGAAAUCUCCAGGCUCAACCUGGAGGGGUCAUUCGAUACUGCCGUGACUAGAGUUCGGUAGGGGAGUGUGGAAUUCCUGGUGGAGCGGUGAAAUGCGCAGAUAUCAGGAGGAACACCCGUAGCGAAGGCGGCACUCUGGGCCGAUACUGACACUGAGGUGCGAAAGCGUGGGGAGCGAACAGGAUUAGAUACCC
rnacentral:rRNA from 1 species